CGUGUAGGCGGUUGGUCAAGUCUGGUGUGAAAGCCCGGGGCUCAGCUCCGGAAGUGCGCUGGAAACUAGCCGACUGGAGCGCGAUAGAGGAGGGUGGAAUUCCUGGUGUAGCGGUGAAGUGCGUAGAUAUCAGGAGGAACACCGGCGGCGAAGGCGGCCCUCUGGAUCGUUGCUGACGCUGAGACGCGAAAGCGUGGGGAGCAAACAGGAUUAGAUACCCUGGUAGUCCACGCUGUAAACUAUGGGUACUAGGUGUUCGGGGUGUUGACCCCCUGAGUGCCGACGCUAACGCAUUAAGUACCCCGCCUGGGGACUACGGCCGCAAGGCUAAA
rnacentral:rRNA from 1 species